AAGCAGCAGCAGCAGCAGCAGCAGCAGCAGCAGCAGAAGAAGAAGAAGAAGAAGAAGAAGAAAUUGUUGUUGAUGUAGUUCCGUGUGUUUCUUUAACUAUUUGACAUGUUUCCGCUCAGUAGAAAAGUACUGGACAGAAUCUACUCCUCGGUGCUGCUGGCGGUCGUGGUCCUCUCCUGGUCCUAUGUGAUCUACGCCAGCAGGAUGGCAGCUCAUUGGCUGCUGGAGCAGAGGGCCGCCGCCCAAAGGCAGGACUGACCUCUGACCUCUGACCUCUGAGACCCUCCGUCCACUCUGGGUCCACCGGGUCAUUCAGGUUUCUCUGGACAGGAAGUAGGAUGAGAUGAGACUGAAACCGGAGUCUGACCUGAACCAGUCUGCUGGGUUACCAGCUUAGCUUAGCUUAGCUUAGCUUAGCUCACCAGGACCGGGACCAGGCAGCAGGACGUAGACUCAUUCCAGUACAGAAACUAAUAAGUUACCACAGUGCAUCCAGACGCUGAUCAAAUGAGGGACAAGAAACAACCUGAAGGGAACGUGAUUAUUAAACAAACCUCCACGGGAGAUAAUUUAUGCAAUAACUGAAGUGAAGAAACACUUUAAAGACAAGAACUUGGACAAAUACAGGAAGGAGCAACCAACAGGUGGAAGAGAAAUAACUGAAUCGGUUUGACUUUUCUCAUUUAUUUUUUAUCUUUAUGUUUUUACGUUGUUGUGUUUUCUCUUAAUUUAUAAUGAUGAACUGAUUUUGAGUUUGAGGAUAAGGAGUAGGACUAGAAACGGACUUCAUUCUAACCACGUAAACAGAAAAACAUGCCACCAUUAGAAGACCGGCUGGUUUGUCGUUAGCUUGUGUUGUUAUAUUGAUGUUUUAGUUUAACAUGUUGAAUAAAAAACUCUAAUUAAUUAAAACA